rnacentral:rRNA from 1 species
GACGAACGCUGGCGGCGUGCUUAACACAUGCAAGUCGAACGGAAAGGCCCCUUUGGGGGUACUCGAGUGGCGAACGGGUGAGUAACACGUGAGUAACCUGCCCUUGACUUCGGGAUAACUUCAGGAAACUGGGGCUAAUACCGGAUAGGAAUCCUUGCUGCAUGGUGGGGGUUGGAAAGCUUCGGCGGUUUUGGAUGGACUCGCGGCUUAUCAGCUUGUUGGUGGGGUAGUGGCUUACCAAGGCUUUGACGGGUAGCCGGCCUGAGAGGGCGACCGGCCACAGUGGGACGGAGAUACGGCCCAGCCUCCUGGGGGGGGAAGAGGGGGGGAAUUUUGCAAAAGGGGGGGAAGUCUGAGGCAGCAACGCGGGGGGGGGGAUGGCGGCCUUGGGGUUGUAACCCGCUUUCAGCGGGGGGGAGGCUGGGGGGGAGGGUACCGGAAGAAGAAGCACCGCCUAACUACGUG